rnacentral:rRNA from 1 species
AACGAACGCUGGCGGCAUGCCUAACACAUGCAAGUCGAACGAGACCUUCGGGUCUAGUGGCGCACGGGUGCGUAACGCGUGGGAACCUGCCCUUAGGUUCGGAAUAACUCCCCGAAAGGGGUGCUAAUACCGGAUAAUGUCUUCGGACCAAAGAUUUAUCGCCGUUGGAUGGGCCCGCGUUGGAUUAGCUAGUUGGUAGGGUAAAAGCCUACCAAGGCGACGAUCCAUAGCUGGUCUGAGAGGAUGAUAAGCCACACUGGGACUGAGACACGGCCCAGACUCCUACGGGAGGCAGCAGUGGGGAAUAUUGGACGAUGGGCGAAAGCCUGAUCCAGCAAUGCCGCGUGAGUGAUGAAGGCCUUAGGGUUGUAAAGCUCUUUUACCCGGGAUGAUAAUGACAGUAACGGGAGAAUAAGCUCCGGCUAACUCCGUG